AUCUAAAAGCAAGGUUGGUCUUUAGUUUCUCUUACUUUCGGUAAAACUCUGCGGAUGAAAUCUUACUCUCAUAGGUCUCGUCAGCAACAGAGUUUACUGAUAAAGAAUCAGAAAAGCAUGACGAAUCUGAUGAUGGAGAACAGGAGAAGCAACAAGGGCUAAAGCAAGAACGUGAGAGUUUGGAGAAGAAAAGAUGAAGAAGGGUUGAGAGGAAGAACAAGGAGAAUUAGUUGACGAUUUGAGUGUAGUAAAACAAAGAAAUCAGAGUUAUCCUUGCUCGAGUAUGAUUAUGUUCCCAAGCUGGUUGUAUUCGUGGAUUCAAAUCUGCCAUGUCUAGCACGCCAAGUGUUCGACGAUAUUCCAUACUUGAAUGUUGUCUCUGCUACAUCGGAAAUAUAAACGGUAAUGUAUAUGUCCUUUGCUUCGAGACAGAACAUGAGUAAUGAUGAUGGUUGGUUUAGUUUCUAGGUCUGGAAUUGAGAAGUUAGAAUGAAAUUGGUUAGUAAGAGUGUUUGCUUGUAAAUGAGAAGGUGAAUGGGCUAGUCUAAGUGGAGGAUACAUGCUUUAUUCAUCUAUGUGUUUGCAGAUUUUAAAUGGUUAGUGAUUUGUUUGAUCUCUCUGUUUCUCUUAUUUUGCUCAUCUUUUGAGUAAUCGUUAAUUCUUAUUUGAUUUUGGAUAUCAAAACUAUGUUUCUUGCAGCAAUUUUGUAUCACAGAUGGAUACUCAACAUUGUUGAAAGUUUUCAUCUCUUGUUCUUGAGGAGGAUGAAGAAGUAUGGAUUACAAAUUCUUUUGGUCAAGGCUAGUUUAAUUCCCAUUAAAUGAGAUUGGAAUUCUUAUCCCUUGAUACUUCAAGAAAAUAGAGACAAUGAUAACAUGAUGGAACUAUCAUAUUCGGCUAUCGCAAAGCUUGAUCAAGCAAAACAGAAUGAGAUCCAACCUUCUUCAUAAAAAUUAGAAGGUUAUUUACUUUACUUCGUCUUUGUUACUCUUGAUGGUUUUGGUUUUGGCAAUUUCAGUUCCAAACUAAUUCAGGCUAUCCACAAGCUUUCCUUUCGGCAUCAAGACUUCAAGGACUAUUGUUGCUUUGGAGAAGGCAGUGAAGUGAGAAUUGCUUGGAAUGAGACAACCUAAGUUCUUUGAAGGAGAGAAAGAGCAAGCUAAUGGGAAGGCAACGCACAUAGAGGGGAUGAGAUUGAAGUUGUCUUUAGAAUGUUAGCUUUAUUUUGUUUAAAACUUGGUAUGAUGUUAUGUUAAAAUGGAUAAUGUAAUAAUAUUGUUAUGUAUGUUGAUGAUUUAUGAAAUAUAAACAUUAUAUUAUAAAUCCAAUUAAA